UCCCUGAUGGUCCAGUGUUUAGGACUCUGCACUUAUACUACUGAGGGCCUGGGUUCAAUCCCUAGUUGGGGAA
rnacentral:tRNA from 1 species